AUCAAUUUCACAGAACAGAGGUAAAUUUCAGUGGUCGAUUCAAUUAACCAAUCCCAAGUCAUUAAGAAAUUCAGAAAUCAAAACAAGUUUAAGCUCAGAGAAAUCAAAAUUCAACCCCAAAAAGUUCAGAUUGUUAGAUAUACGUUUACUUUAAUGAUGCAAAAUAACAUAAAUUUUAUGUGCAGAAAUACUCCGGAAGCAAUGGAAAGGAUGACUAUCAAAGAAUAGAGAUGAAAAAGGAGGAGUAGCGGAAAAUCAAUCAAGGAUUUGACAGCAGAUUAACGGAGAAUAUUAUAGGAAGGACCUAAAUUAAAGAAAGUCAAGAUUGCAGAACUAUGCACUAAAGAUUCCUCCAUCAAAGGAAGACAGUUAAAAACCGGAAUCAAGGGAUCUAAUUUUGAUUGAUAAAAUAACGGAAAGAUCUACUUAGCAAAGGAAAAGUCCAAUCAAGACCACAAGUCAAGGCAAAUCAACAGAAGCAACACCUUAUUCUUGGAAAGAAUCACUCUACGAUUCCUUUCAAGGAUCAACUCCCUUGGGUUCAAUCUCUCAAGAUUCAUAUCAAUCAAGAGUCAAGAAGACCUCACAGAGUAUAUAUACAUAUGUACCAAUCUUGAAGCUAUAUACUUUGAUCAAACAAACUUCGUGCUCUUUGUUUUACUCUAAAUAAGCAUUGUAAUAUAAGUGAAGUUUACCAUGUAAUCAGUAGAGAGAAAAAGAGAGAAAAACAUUGGUGAGACAUUGUAUCGAAAAUAUCACGAGCGUACUUAAAUCCAAAAGUGAGUUGGUGUCCGG
rnacentral:lncRNA from 1 species